CAAGGAAGGAACAGGUCUAAUGCACCGAGGCACAGAACGCAUUCCCCAUCUGAGUUCAUUCCAGAGUCUGGUCUUUCUGGUGGGCUCAGAGGCCUCUUUGCUUUCUCAGGAUUGAAUCAUUUUCUUCUGUGUGUCAAAGACGUAUCUUUUAAAAAGAAGAGUGAUGGUAACAGGUUGGGCCGAAUCAUUCUUGCUGCUUUCAUCCUCUUUGUUCGCGUCCCCCUUCCCUGCCUUCGAUUUUUUCUUGGACGCAGCGCUGAGAAGCAUCUUGGUUUCUGGCUUCAGCCCACCUGGAAUUCGGAUUUUAAAUUUACCACUUUGUCCAAAACCUCCAUCUAUUAUUCCUUCUUCUCCUGUAGACAGCUUGACUUUCAGACCCACAAAAAUCUGGAUGUUUGUUUCCUUCUUAAACAGUGAACGACCAAUCACGCUGUAAUCAUCC
rnacentral:lncRNA from 1 species